CAGGGAAUCUUGCGCAAUGGGCGAAAGCCUGACGCAGCGACGCCGCGUGGGGGAUGAAGGCCUUCGGGUUGUAAACCCCUUUCAGGAGGGACGAUAAUGACGGUACCUCCAGAAGAAGCCCCGGCCAACUACGUGCCAGCAGCCGCGGUAAUACGUAGGGGGCAAGCGUUGUCCGGAUUUAUUGGGCGUAAAGAGCUCGUAGGCGGCUCAGCAAGUCGGUCGUGAAAACCCGGGGCUCAACCCCGGGAGGCCGGUCGAUACUGCUGUGGCUAGGGUCCGGUAGAGGAGAGUGGAAUUCCCGGUGUAGCGGUGGAAUGCGCAGAUAUCGGGAGGAACACCAGUAGCGAAGGCGGCUCUCUGGGGCCGGUACCGACGCUGAGGAGCGAAAGCUAGGGGAGCAAACGAGGAUUAGAUACCCUGGUAGUCCUAGCCGUAAACGUUGGGCACGUAGGUGUGGCGGUCUGGACCAACGACUGCCGUGCCGUAGCUAACGCAUUAAGUGCCCCGCCGUGGGGAGUAC
rnacentral:rRNA from 1 species